CUUUAUUUAUAUUAUUAUAUCAAACAUUUAUCCAACUGCUGGACUCCACUAUAAUUAGUGUCAGUGCAUCAAUCGGUAAUGUUAAUUGAUAUUAAAGAUCUUACUAUGUCAUGAAAGUUACUAUAAUACUACAGGUGAAUAAAGGGAAAAAGAUGAAACUGAUUGAUAAAUGGUAUAGUUGAAUUAAUUAAUAAUUGUUGUUUGGUAGUAUCAAAUGAGGAAACAUAGGUAGAUGCAACAUGUUGGUAGUGAGUAAAAAGACAAAUGACACAUCGUUUGGUGAUGUAUAUGAGCAGUCAAUACAAUUAUUGAAAUGACUUAACCUCAUAUAAUUUUUUUCAACAAUAUGACUGGGCCAACGUUCUGUAGUCCAUGAAACAACAUUGAUUGUUACCCAGCGAAGUCGUGAAGUUUUUGAUAUGCCGCAUGUCGAAAAGAGAAAGAUGCUUCUCGGAGAGGGAAUCAUACCGCCCCGUUAUAUCGUGGCAGCGAUUCCAAAUGAAACACGUCUCUGUUCAUAUUUUCGACUCCUGUUUCUUUCUGUCAUAGGUUAAUGUCAGGUUUCACACACCUAAACCUUACUAGAGAAAUGCUCUUUAAAAUCGAGGAAAACCUCAUCAAAAUAUGUCCUAUAGUUCUUGAGAUUAGCUCGAACUCGGAACAUACAGACGCAUGCCGAGAACUUCAUUUUAUACUAUAUCUAGAUUGAAUACAAAAGAAUAUUUAUUAUAUUCUCUCUCAUGCAAUGUUUGUGUAGUGUACAUGAAGAGAAAAGCACUUCAGUUUGCAUUCAAAACACAGCUUUAAAUAAUUGCUUCUUAACUUGCUGCGCUGCAUGUUUCUUUUUGUAGCACACAAUUUCAAGGAAACUGUCGCUGUAUAAUUGGUCGCUUUGUAUCUUAUAUCUGUCCACUUUAACAGUUUUUUCUGCGCGAUGAGAUGCGCUAUAAGGGACAGUGUGUCCUUGCGUAGCAACGCCGUUGUGUUAUGGUUUCCCCCUUGCUCUUUGAGAUCUCAAGCACAGUGAACCGUAGUUCCUGGUUUUGUCCACUAAAUCGUGCACUACCGACGCUUAAGCUCUGAAAGCCCCUCUUUUGACGCUAGAGGGAUUCUACUUGUUACUGGGAAUCCUUCUGUAUCCCUUUGAGGAUAUGUAUUGCGCUCUGUCGAGAUGACGGAAAUUGAGGAAACAAAAUCCGUUGCAGAUAAAAGUAAUUUCAUAAAAGGAUACGUAUGUAAGGAUAGCAACUCUAAGAAUUGGUCAUAAAAUGAUCGAAGAUAGAAAAUAUGUACCUAAGUUCGACAUUCUUAAUACGGCAUUUAUUCCAUUUUAAUUCUCUUCUAACUUUUAUCCAAUCUCAGUAAUUCUGAUACUCUGUAUCAAACGUUUAUCAAACAAGCUAAGAUUCCAAUUUCCUCGUUUUCAGAACUACGAUUUCCUUUAGAUCUUGCAGUUAAGAUCACAGGACGAUCAUUCACCCGCACCUUCGCAGGAUACGCUUCCAAAGCUGUAUUUUAUACCAGGAUGGAAAUGUGAUAUUUGGAAACGCGGCGUAAUGUGAUGUUUAUCGACAGCGUGGUCGCGCGCGUAUUCCCCAUUAACAUUCCGUAUGAAAUCCGUAGGUAGAUAAGUGGAAUGCCCUGUACAGAGACGCGUUUGCAUACACGCCGGUGUAUAUCUAGAUGCUACAUGCAUCUGCGCCCGUCCGUUGAACGUGCAUGCACGCGAGUUUAACGAGCGCGGCAGAGGCUGGCGCCAAACGGCGAUCCUAACAUCGGCCAACCGAUUCGCGAUCUCUGCUUUCUACGAUAAUCCUCUGCGAUGGCAUACUGUUGUCCGCUGUGGAAACGUGAUCGAGCACGAUCGAGCCUCAUGCUUACAGCCUAUCCUAAUAGAUAUCAUAAUGAAUGUACAAAGUCGGGCAAAUACUGGCGUUGCAUAGGUCUGGAGAAUGGGAAUAUUGUGAUAGUAUAUUAGUACAGAAUGAUACAUCAUAUCUUUUAUAAGAAAUUUAAGAAGAAUAUUUUUGAUAGCUGUAAGUGUUAAUUAUUAAUAUGGAAAGUAUUUUUAAGGUCUAAAGGAAAUUUCUAUCGUUGGUACUGAAAACGAUUUACAUAUAUCUGAAAUUUUGAGAAAAACUGGCUAUUAUUAAAUACAGAAGUGACAGUAGAGAGAAGGAAACGGUGCGUGUAAGGGGCCACGAGACUAUUUUUCAUUCAUGAAUGAAGCGAUGCGAACGUAAAAGUACUUUAUCCAUCAUAUUCGUUAUCAAGGACAUGGCAAUGCAUAGAGUAUUUUUACCACAGAAUUUCCAGCUCUGAGAGUAUCUUAUAAUCCCUAGUGUUCCAGCGCGUAUUACGAGUGGCUCUUUCGAAGCUUAUAAUUAUUAGACACAGAACAAAUGUGACUCCUUGAAUAACGCUGACUGAAUAAUUUUGAUAAGCCUAUAUAUGCAUAGAUAGGGCAAGCAACGCUUUGUGAGAAUGCGUUCUAAUCGUAAAUGCGUUCAGCAACCGGUGACCCAGAAUGUUAAUACUUUCUCCUUCCUUAAGUAUUCUUUUGUUCUCCGUUCAAAUGCACCUGUAUUGUUCCCGCAACAUAGAACUGUUCCGUGACAAAGCGAUAACGGGUCACGAAGGUUCCAAUACAAUGUUCAGACGGGAAUACUACCGACAUAAGUAAACACGUACGAACAGUCGCUGGUGGACCAUCGAAUUGAACUCCGAAAAUAAGCCGCUACGUAUCUAAGUAGACUGGACGAGAAAAUUUUUUUCUCUUCCUAUUUUUUUUUAAAGCUAUUCGAAAUGUAACAUGUUCAAAAUGGAAAUAUAAAAGUGAUCAAUCAGCUACGUCAGAAUUAAAAUGAUCGAUGCGAUGGAUAUUUAAAGUCCAUGUAUAGAGAAACAAAUUACGUAAAUUUACGUAAAGAUAACAGGAUAUGAAGUGUGACAGGAUUAUCUUAUCGAAUGAAAAUAUAAAUUUGUUCAGCGAAGAAAUGAUAAAGCUAUAAUCGUGAAAGCGUAUGAAGACAGGAAAGAGAUAUAAUAAAACGCGAUUUUCUGAGAUGAUGUUGGGAAAAAAAAACACGCACGAUCGUGCGACCACAAUAUUACCACACUGUGGAGAUUACAUUCGAGCAGGGAGACACCAGAUUUUCAUCGAUGUCGUUGCGAAAUCUCUAAUCGAAGGAAGUCAUCAUAGACUUGAACCGUGCCGGACGCCUUGGAACUCGAAAGUCUAUGAAAUUUCAUCAAUAUAAUUUUUUACAUAUUAACAAAAUUUAAUUUUUACGAAACUCUUCUAACUUUCUUCAUAUAAGUUUUAAUAUUCCUUUUUGACUUACAUGACGUUCUUUAUGUAUUUAUAAAUAUUUAUAAUCAUAUAAUUUUUAUAUGUCUUUAAGUCUUUUUGAUAGAUAUUUUAAUUUAUCUUAAAACUUUUUUUGCUAUAUCCUUUGGUAUAGGUAUUCCUAACUUCAUACAUUCCAUUUAUUGGGUUGGCAACUAAGUGAUUACGCGUUUUGUCAUUAGGUGGUAUUGACGGUUUGUCAAUACUAUGAUAUAUUUUUUCUAAAAUUU